rnacentral:lncRNA from 1 species
GAUUAAGUUUCAGUAAAAAAAAAGUUUCAGUAAAUUACACUAUCUUGCUGGUGUCCACAAUGGUGAAUGCCAUUGGCAUAUCCUUUUGGACACCAUGCAAUCACACAUGGAGACACAGAUAAGAGUAGGAAAGUGGAGAGGGGAGGAAAUGGGGAAAGCACAAAAGCAAAAAAAGGGGAGAGUGGGUACUUUGCAUCUUGAUGGAUGAAAGUUGAUUGCCUCCAGCUUUUCUCAAAUAACCAGGUCAUUCAAUGCGGCGUUAGGUUUUAAACUUGAGCAUUUGCAGUCUUGCAUCACCUAAUAAUUAUUGAUUAGCUUUCCUGUUUUGUCUGUACCAAUUCCCAGUUAAUGGGCAAAUAUAAGAAAUCGGCAACAGCAGCAGGUCUAAAUUAAGGUUAAACAAAAAAUAAAAAUUCCAUUCUGAAAGAUGUUACCUCCAAGCAUUGGCUUUGUUCCUUCUUUGUGAAAUUUUUUUUUUCUAAUACUCAAUAUGGGCCAUGUUAGACAUGAAAUUGGAGGAUUAAAUCUCAAAACUGUACUUAACCUGGUUGAGUUUGGUUGCUAGCUCUACCGUGUAUGCAGCCUGACCUGGCACAAAAAAUGCUUACUCAUCCCACAAAGAAGACUUAUGCUACAUGAUAUUAGAAACAGACAAUAUGAUUUUUUCCAAGAGUCGUAACUUUGAUGUUGCCUUUAUAGAUGAAACUAUGGAGGAUUGUAUUGAU